UACGAAGGGGGCUAGCGUUGCUCGGAAUCACUGGGCGUAAAGCGCACGUAGGCGGCUUUCUAAGUCAGGGGUGAAAUCCUGGAGCUCAACUCCAGAACUGCCUUUGAUACUGGAGAGCUUGAGUCCGGGAGAGGUGAGUGGAACUCCGAGUGUAGAGGUGAAAUUCGUAGAUAUUGGGAAGAACACCAGUGGCGAAGGCGGCUAACUGGUCCGAUACUGACGCUGAGGUGCGAAAGCGUGGGGAGCAAACAGG
rnacentral:rRNA from 1 species